rnacentral:rRNA from 1 species
GACGAACGCUGGCGGCGUGCUUAACACAUGCAAGUCGAACGGAAAGGCUCUGCUUUUGUGGGGUGCUCGAGUGGCGAACGGGUGAGUAACACGUGAGUAACCUGCCCUUGACUUUGGGAUAACUUCAGGAAACUGGGGCUAAUACCGGAUAGGAGCUCCUGCUGCAUGGUGGGGGCUGGAAAGUUUCGGCGGUUGGGGAUGGACUCGCGGCUUAUCAGCUUGUUGGUGGGGUAGUGGCUUACCAAGGCUUUGACGGGUAGCCGGCCUGAGAGGGUGACCGGCCACAUUGGGACUGAGAUACGGCCCAGACUCCUACGGGAGGCAGCAGUGGGGAAUAUUGCACAAUGGGCGGAAGCCUGAUGCAGCAACGCCGCGUGCGGGAUGACGGCCUUCGGGUUGUAAACCGCUUUCGCCUGUGACGAAGCGUGAGUGACGGUAAUGGGUAAAGAAGCACCGGCUAACUACGUG